rnacentral:rRNA from 1 species
AGUGAACGCUGGCGGCGUGCCUAAUACAUGCAAGUCGAACGCGAAAGUCCUUCGGGAUGAGUAAAGUGGCGCACGGGUGAGUAAUACAUGGGAACAUGCCCUGGAUGGGGAAUAACGUUUGGAAACGAACGCUAAUACCGCAUAAUCUCGCGAGAGUAAAGGUGGCGCCGCAAGGGCUACCGUCCAAGGAUUGGCCCAUGUCCCAUUAGCUAGUUGGCGGGGUAAUGGCACACCAAGGCAACGAUGGGUAACUGGUCUGAGAGGAUGAUCAGUCACACUGGAACUGAGACACGGUCCAGACUCCUACGGGAGGCAGCAGUAGGGAAUAUUGCACAAUGGGGGAAGCCCUGAUGCAGCAACGCUGCGUGAGUGAAGAAGGCCCUUGGGUUGUAAAGCUCUUUAGCGUGGGAAGAAGGUAGAUAUGGUGAGUAAUCAUGUUUGCUGACGGUACCACGAGAAUAAGCACCGGCUA